ACGGAGUCUUGCUCCAUCACCCAGGCUGGAGCGCAAUGGCGUGAUCUUGGCUCACUGCAACCUCCACCUCCCAGGUUCAAAUAAUUCUCCUGCCUCAGCCUCCCAAGUAGCUGGGAUUACAGGUGCCCACCACCAUGCCCAGCUAAUUUUUAUAUAUCUAUUUUUUUAUUAGAGAUGGGGCUUCGCCAUGCUGGCCAGGCUAGUCUCAAACUCCUGACUUCAGGUGAUCCACCCGCCUCAGCCUCCCAAAGUGUCAGGAUUACAGGCAUGAGCCACCGCACACAGCCUAAAAUACUAUUUAAUUCACAAAUGAUCCAUUCACUUCAGAACAAACAAAUAAAUGAAAAUAGCUCCAUAACCACAGAUGUGACAACUCCUCCUGGGGCACUGUCACCCAAUCUUUACUCAAAUGAAUGCAUGCAUUCCCACCAGAAUACAGGAUGUGGGGACGCGUGGCUCCAUUCACAUUAGUGCCAUUCUCAGAAGCAUGACUAGGUGGGUGGCUCCUACAGAUGACGUUUAACUGCCUUCAUCUUCACAGAGGACAGCAAUCACCUCAUUGAGCUUUAUAGCUUACAGAGGCUAAAAACCACUCUACGGAGGAAAUCCAGGAUUUCCAGUGGUACUACAGGAGAUGAAGCUGUACACAGGCUACUGAGGACUGAAGGACAACUUACUUAGGAUUCGGAAUGACUACCCAGCUUGUGAGUGGACUAAGGCCUUUGAUUCUCCUGCUUCUUCUCCUCCCUCCUUGAUCUUUUAAUUGCUCAUAAAAACUCUAUGAGGUCAGCAGAGCAAGAUGCAAAGAAUGUGUCCAAAUAGUCCAUUUGGUUUCUUUUGAGUCAAUCGAGUUAAAGUGUUUUAAGAGAAGAUCAAAUCUAUUGGCUAACAAGAGGACCAGAGGUCAUGUGUGGAUUUUGAUUGUCCAUACCAUGCGUGUCCAAACCAGAAUGAGACUCACAGAAGCAGAGAAUAAGGAGCUAUGAGAGAAGGAAUAGAAUUGUUUUUCAGCUUUACACAUUUGAGAGAUGCAGAAACCGAUGCCCAGAGAGCAUAACGGACUUGGUCAACGUCACAGAACUUGUUUAAAGUAGGAUAAAAAAGCACGAAGUCAUUUAAUAUUUGAUAACUAGCAUCAAGUAUGUUAUAUUGAAUAUAUAUAUUUAUAUUAAAUAAUAAAAAGUUUCAUCUAAGGCUCUAUUUUUAAAUAACAGUUGUUUUCCAUUAUAGAUCUGCAAAGACAAUUUUAUAAGUCAUCUGUUAAUAAUAUGUUAUUUCAAAGCAAACUAUCCAUCAGGCAAUCAUAAAGUAUGCUAGGAGGUGGCAUGGCUUUUGUUUCACAGAAGAAAACAGAGUGAGAUAUAUUUGAUGACUGAAGCAUAGAAGUUCCUUUGAGCCAUUAGCCAACCUGCUACUGUUCCCGCAAAGAUAUCUUAAAGGACUGCACAAAGUGAGCACAACUGUUCCUCCUGGGAGGUAGAAAGCAGGAGGGGACAGGCAGGGAAAUAUGAAAAAUGAAUCUUUCCAUCCCCUCAUUUGCUUGUCACUGUACACACUCUCAUGAGACAUAAGACACACUCUUAUGUCUGGAAGGUGUGAUUUCAAAUUUUACACAACCUGAAAGAAGGAAAGGUUCUCUGUCGACACUGGAGAGGUAAUAGGGCUUGGCAUGGGGAGAGAUGAAAUUCGAGUUACACUUGGGACAACUUUAAUUUCAAUUUAUAAUAAAACUCUAUUACAAGGCUAUACUACAGAUAGUCAGUAGAAGACUCAACUCAAGAGCAGAGAGGGCUCUGGAGAAAUGUAGUAGACAUGGAAAAUGACUUUUGCAUGGGAGAAAGAAUACAGAGAAGAGGAAAAAAUAAAGCCUCCAGCAGUAAACCAGGUCUUCCUUGACCCUCAGAAAAAUCAAGAAAGGAAUAUUAACAGUACUGUGGAUUGAAGAAAAGCCAAAUAAACCUUCCGCAAUAAUAGCUUGUCUUAUAGAUUUGCAAAAAGUAAUCACUGGAGAAAAUGACAGGGCCAGCAUAAUUCCAGAGGAAAGUGAAAUAAGAAAGACACCUUUCAUUUUCUCUAUGGGGACAGAAAAUAUGUGGUGGCAAUGUAGGGUUGUCUCAGAAAUCUUAUUGGCCACAUUUAUUCCUCUCAUUAAAUGUUGAUACGUGUGACACAUAAUAUGUUCUGUUAAUUAAGCCUCUUAACAUAACUUCGUGGACUUCAGAAGUUUGUAGGACUCAGGGGAAGAAGAUUCUACAACCCAGCAAACUUCCAAGAAAGCAAUUACCCAGAAGAGUUUAUCCAAGUGUGCGUGGCUGACAAAGCUGCCUCACCAUUUCAGAACAGUGCAUCUGCUUCUCUAACUGAAUGCUGGCUGAUCCAGAGGAGGAGGUUCACCCCAGGAUUUUGUGGUAUCAGGAAAAGGUACCUCAAGGAAUGGGUAAGCAGAAUGUGAUGGAAGCUUACCCAGAAAUACUACACAGAAGUUAGACAUGGCACGUGGAAUACAUGGCACCAUGAAUAGAUUUAAAAGCAAUGCUUUCUUUAAAGCAAAAUUAAGAAACUACGAAAUUUAUAGUGCAAUAAUUUUUAUGAAAAUUUAAAAAUUCAUCCAUACAUACAGAAAACAACACUAUUUCAGGAUACAUACAAUUUGAAGGACACAUAACAAAUCCUGAAGAGAGCCAGUGGGCAAUGGAGAAUAAAUACAUGCAAAAAGUAACUGAAUACAUAUAGACACACCUAUAAAGUUCAAAGCAAGAGAACCCUUGCUGAGGGCAAUGACGAAAAUGUGCCAGGAACCAAGGAUUAUCUUUCCUGCUACUAAAAGCCCUAGAUGGCUGGACUGUGGGAGACAAAAGAGGGAGCCAUGAGUUGGACCUGGAGGUGGGGUGCAUGCAGUGAAUUCAGCCCCAGGGGCCUGCCUUGGACUGCCUAUGGCAGUUUUUGACUCCAUAGGUCUUGGUACAUGCUACUCUUCUGUCUAGAACACUCUUUCCUCCCCUCUUUACCUAGUUAUCUCCUACUCAGCCUAUUUCUGAGGCCAGUUGUCGCUUUGUAGUGAGAGAAAGAGAUCUUUCCUUCAUUUCUUGACUAUGCUUAAUAUCUUUAUUAUGUUUUUCAUAAACAUAUAUAAACCGUCUUCAGGGAACUCAUUCAGCUUCAACAUUACAAUCUCUUUCUGUAUUUGUUUGAAACUUACCCUACUAGAUGAUAAUCUUCAUGUGUGUACGAGUGUUUCUCUCCAUGGCAGUGCAAGCCUAACCAAGUGUGCUGUGCAUAGUCAGUGCUCAAUUAAAAUACAUUGAUGAAUGAGUGAAUCUAUUUGUUGUUGGUCAGUUGAUUGCUUGAUUAGUUUAAGUUUGUGUCAUGGCAGAGGAUUAGAAAACUGGAUUCAGUGAAAGCCAUCACUGGGCAUUCCCAAGCCUAGUUGAAGGGCCACGUAUAUUCAUGCAUAUUCAUGAAUUAAAUCCAUAUCUAUAUAUUCUAGUUUGGGACUUCAUGAAAUUGCUAACAAUUGUGAAAGCUGCUAUCUGUCUGUCUUUGUGCUUUCUAUUCUCUUCCUCCACUCUCCUCCCUUUGCUCCUUCUACACAAGACCAUGAAGACAUGCCAUUAGUUUUGUGAAUCACCAUUCAGGCUAAAGAGACUAAAUUAUAAUCAACUGAAUAAUUCUCUAUCUAGGAGAUGGUUCACAUUUUGUUAAUAAUUCUUUCUGGACACAUAAUUUGAUGAUUGCAUAUCAUUUCUUUAAUGCUCCUGCUAAGAAAAUUAUAAAUUAAGUCCCUCUUUAUAAAAAAAAAGAUUGCUGUUUCACUAAGCCUGCUGUUAAACUGAGAUUAAUGUUCCAUAUCUGAAGUAUAAAUUACCUAAUAGUUCCUCCCACCACACAGCUCAGGAAUUUAGAAACCCUGUAUCAGGAUUUCCUCCAUAAAUGUGUGCCAUGAAUCUCUCCCUCCUUAAGGCACAUACCAAAAUGGCAUGUUAGAGUAGUCUAGUACAACAAAUUCCAUCCCAAAUAUCUCCAUUUUGAUAAAACUCAAAGGUAUCACACACCAGCACCUUUUCCUCCCCACUUUUCUUUUAUUCUCUCUCCCUCCUUGUUUAAUUAUUGAGCACAUGCAGAAAACUUAUAUACUUUUAAUUCACCUAUCUUUUCUUUUAAAAAUAGUAAGCUACUCACAUUUUUGAAAAGUACUUGAAUCUAUCAUUUCUACAUAAAACAUAUUGUAAAUUUUUUUUUAAAGAGACACUCUGUCCAUUCUUGGUUUUAAUAAAUGUGAAAGCACUUCCUGGACUGGAUUUCAGAUCCCAAAUCCAAGGCUCUCAAGAACUUAGACUCAGGAUUCUAUAAUCAUCUGUGAAAAACAAAUCAGAAAAACUUUUUAUAAAAUAUCAAAGAAUUCUUCCUAUCAAAAUAUGUAUUGCCAUGUAGUGACCCAUGUACAUUUUUACAAAGAUUAUUUUUCAUUUUGCACAAUAAAG
rnacentral:lncRNA from 1 species